rnacentral:snoRNA from 1 species
UUCCAGGUUCCCCCUUACGGCUCCCAGUGAGCCCUCAGUAUUUUCCUUAUAUGAUCAGGCACCACUGUGGGCGGCGCUGCUUGCCUGGAGCCUGAGAGGAUUAUGAAACGUGUCGGGCGAAGUGGAGCGAGGGGGACCUGGC